rnacentral:rRNA from 1 species
GACGAACGCUGGCGGCGUGCCUAAUACAUGCAAGUCGAACGCAGUGGGGACGGGUGAGUAACACGUGGGUAACCUCCAAUCAGAGGGGAUAACACUUGGAAACAGGUGCUAAACCGAUACUGAUGGAUGGACCCGCGGUGCAUUGGCUAGUUGGUGAGGUAAGGGCUCCACAAGGCCACGAUGUAUAGCCGACCUGAGCGGUGGAGAGGCCACACUGGGACUGAGACACGGCCCAGACUCCUACGGGAGGCAGCAGUAGGGAAUCUGCGGCAAUGGACGAAAGUCUUACCGGGCAACGCCGCGGGAGUGAAGAAGGUUUUCGGAUCGUAAAACUCUGUUGUUAGAGAAGCGGUAUCUAACCAGAAAGCCACGGCUAACUACGUGCCAGCAGCCGCGGUAAUUC